AGUGAACGCUGGCGGCGUGCUUAACACAUGCAAGUCGAGCGGAUGGAAGGAAGCUUGCUUCCUAAAGUCAGCGGCGGACGGGUGAGUAACACGUGGGCAACCUGCCCCUAAGAUCGGGAUAACUUCGGGAAACCGGAGCUAAUACCGGAUAUGAUUAUGUCUCACAUGAGACAUAAUGGAAAGACGGUUUCGGCUGUCACUUAGGGAUGGGCCCGCGGCGCAUUAGCUAGUUGGUGAGGUAACGGCUCACCAAGGCGACGAUGCGUAGCCGACCUGAGAGGGUGAUCGGCCACACUGGGACUGAGACACGGCCCAGACUCCUACGGGAGGCAGCAGUAGGGAAUCUUCCGCAAUGGACGAAAGUCUGACGGAGCAACGCCGCGUGAGUGAAGAAGGUUUUCGGAUCGUAAAACUCUGUUGUUAGGGAAGAACAAGUACCAUAGUAACUAAUGGUACCUUGACGGUACCUAACCAGAAAGCCACGGCUAACUACGUGCCAGCAGCCGCCGUAA
rnacentral:rRNA from 1 species